AUAUACCUGCUGGAGCGCUUGCUACGGGUGGAUGCUGCUAUGGUGACCAGUAGACUCAUCGAUAUGAUGGUGAUGCAGAAAGUAAACAAUUUAUUGGGUACAUUACCACGACAACUAACAGGGUGACGCGUGAGGCUCAACUUCUCUGCUGUUUUGGUCCCGUGGCUACCACCCAGUGAACAGCAUGAAGAGAACCCCUGCACAUUCUGCACAUGCUGAUACUGUGUUUGACUGUGUGAGAGCAAAGUCUACCUUUAAACAUAUGUAAUAAAAUAUAUUUUAAAAAGUG